CAGUCGCCGCGGUAAUACAGAGGGUGCAAGCGUUAAUCGGAAUUACUGGGCGUAAAGCGCGCGUAGGUGGUUUGUUAAGUUGGAUGUGAAAGCCCCGGGCUCAACCUGGGAACUGCAUCCGAAACUGGCAAGCUAGAGUACGGUAGAGGGUGGUAGAAUUUCAUGUGUAGCGGUGAAAUGCGUAGAUAUAGGAAGGAAUACCAGUGGCGAAGGCGACCACCUGGACUGAUACUGACACUGAGGUGCGAAAGCGUGGGGAGCAAACAGGAUUAGAUACCCCAGUAGUCCCUGUCUCUUAUAC
rnacentral:rRNA from 1 species